AAUCUGGGGCCCCAGGCCUCCGAGUUGUAAUUUGGAGAGGCAUCUUCGGGGAGGGGGCGCGGGCCCAUGUUCCUUGGAACAGGACGUCGCAGAGGGUGAGAAUCCCGUGCCAGGCCGGCUGCCUCCGCCCCAGUGAAGGGCCUUCGACGAGUCGAGUUGUUUGGGAAUGCAGCUCCAAGUGGGUGGUAAAUUUCAUCUAAAGCUAAAUACCGGCGGGAGACCGAUAGCGCACAAGUAGAGUGAUCGAAAGAUGAAAAGCACUUUGAAAAUAGAGUCAAAAAGUACGUGAAAUUGUUGAAAGGGAAGCGCUUGAGACCAGACUCGGACCCGGGCAAACAUCGCGCCCCCCGGGGCCGUGCAAUUGCCUGGGGCCGGGCCAGCAUCGGUUGGCGUGGCGGGACAAAGGCGCGGGGAAUGUGGCUCCCCUCGGGGAGUGUUAUUAGGCCCGCGCCCAAUGCCGCCUACGCCGACUGAGGACCGCGCCGCCCGGCUAGGAUGCUGGCUUAAUGGCCUUCAGCGACCCGUCUUGAAACACGGACCAAGGAGUCUAACAUCUAUGCGAGUGUUUGGGCUUGAAACCCUUGCGCGGAAUGAAAGUGAGCGGAGGUGGGAACCCCCCCGCGGGGCGCACCAUCGACCGAUCCUGAUGUCUUCGGAUGGAUUUGAGUAG
rnacentral:rRNA from 1 species